GGCUGGAAAAUGCCUGCUGAAAGUCCUUCCUAUGACAAGAUAUAAAAAGAAGGAUGUUGGAUCAGCCAAUCAGGAUGCAGAUAUGCCUCUCCAUACAAUAUAUAAUUGAGAUUUGGAUGGUGUGUACAUCGGACCAUCUGCAAUCAUCUGCAAACUAUACUCAUCCCCCUCCAGCAUAGCUUGGAAACCUUGGAGUUGCUGCUGGGGAUGAUGAGUGUAUUGACUGAAGACAUCUAGAUGCCAACAGAUUGGGAAAGACUGUUUUUAAGAGCUGCUAAGAAUAACUGAAAUUAUCAGAACACUAUAAAUAACUAUUUCCAAACAUUUACGUAUCUUUUUGAAUUGGGAUAACAUACAAUAUAACCUAUUGUGCAAAGUUUCAUAUC